rnacentral:lncRNA from 1 species
UGAUCUGAUUCUCUCAGCCUAUCCCCUUUGAACUUUGGUUUGGGCUUCAAGCACAAUUAGCCCAUAAUUUUUUUUAUGUGCACCCUUAGGCUGCUUAUCAUACUCCUUUUUGAAUAGAAAAUAAAAACACCGCUUUAGGCCUUAACUUGUUAGGCCCAGUGCCUCUUCUUCCAGAGAAUACUCCCUUUCUGGCUUGUGUACCUCCCUGUAGGGAUUUUUUCUAAUUAAUAAUCAAUUUGUUUGUUU